rnacentral:sRNA from 1 species
CCUCGUGGACCUGGGACGGCGAGAUGAGGUGGACGUGGGAGUCGAAGCCGCCGGCGGUGAGGAUCCUGCCCUCGCCGCUGAUGACGUCCGUGGAGGGGCCGAUGCACAGGCCGGGGUGGACGCCGUCGGCGAUGUCGGGGUUGCCCGCGCGGCCCAGGGCCACGAUCACGCCGUCGCGGAUGCCGACGUCGGCGCGCACGAUACCCCACCAGUCGAGGACCACCGCGUUCGUGAUGACCGUGUCCGGCGCGCCGUCGGCGCGCGUGGUCGUGCCCUGGGCCAUCGACUCCCGGA